rnacentral:rRNA from 1 species
AUUGAACGCUGGCGGCAGGCCUAACACAUGCGAGUCGAGCGGAUGAAGGGAGCUUGCUCCUGGAUUCAGCGGCGGACGGGUGAGUAAUGCCUAGGAAUCUGCCUGGUAGUGGGGGAUAACGUCCGGGAACGGGCGCUAAUACCGCAUACGUCCUGAGGGAGAAAGUGGGGGAUCUUCGGACCUCACGCUAUCAGAUGAGCCUAGGUCGGAUUAGCUAGUUGGUGGGGUAAAGGCCUACCAAGGCGACGAUCCGUAACUGGUCUGAGAGGAUGAUCAGUCACACUGGAACUGAGACACGGUCCAGACUCCUACGGGAGGCAGCAGUGGGGAAUAUUGGACAAUGGGCGAAAGCCUGAUCCAGCCAUGCCGCGUGUGUGAAGAAGGUCUUCGGAUUGUAAAGCACUUUAAGUUGGGAGGAAGGGCAGUAAGUUAAUACCUUGCUGUUUUGACGUUACCAACAGAAUAAGCACCGGCUAACUUCGUG